rnacentral:rRNA from 1 species
UACGUAGGAGGCGAGCGUUGUCCGGAGUUACUGGGCGUAAAGGGUGCGCAGGCGGUGGCCCGCGUGGGCGGUGAAAGCUCCUGGCUCAACUGGGAGAGGGCCGUCCAGACGGGGUCACUUGAGAGGCGGAGAGGGGCGUGGAAUUCCGGGUGGAGCGGUGAAAUGCGUAGAGAUCCGGAGGAACACCGACGGCGUAGGCAGCGCCCUGGCUGUGAAUAAAGCUGACACUGAGGCACGAAAGCUGGGGGAGCAAACAGG